GGAUGUGAGGGGAACUGGCUGUCACAUCUGCUGGCCCUCCCUCCAUGAGCAGGGCCUCUGUGGCUGACCUGGCUGGAGAAGCAGCUGUGUCCUCCUCAGGGCUCAGUGUGCAGCUCCAGACCUGGGCUUAGUUAGAAGUGGACCUUCAGGAGAGAGAAAUGGGACUGUGUUUCAUAUCUAGGACACAGCGGCAGCUGUGUUCCCUGCCAGAUCCUCCAGACAAACUCUCUAAAAGUAGUGUGGUGUCACGACUGCUUCAUUGGGUGGGUCGCCUCAGCACGCAGGGGAUGAACUACUUCAUGGCUAACCUCUGCUGU
rnacentral:sRNA from 1 species